rnacentral:rRNA from 1 species
GAUCCUACGGGAGGGCAGCAGUAGGGAAUCUCCGCAAUGCACGCAAGCGGAAUCGAGCACAGCCGGGGGAGUCAUGAAGGUGCACGGCUCGUAAAGCUCUGUGCCAGGGAAGAACGACAGCUAGAGUAACUGCGAGAGAUAGUGACGGUAUUGAGAAAGACGCCCCGGGC